CUUUGUCGUAGGUUUGUGAUAUAAACAAGGCAAAAGGAG
rnacentral:ncRNA from 1 species